rnacentral:rRNA from 1 species
CCUACGGGUGACAGCAGUGGGGAAUAUUGCACAAUGGGGGAAACCCUGAUGCAGCGACGCCGCGUGAGUGAAGAAGUAAUUCGUUACGUAAAGCUCUAUCAGCAGGGAAGAAACACUGACCUUACGGUCAGCAGACGGUACCUGAGUAAGAAGCCCCGGCUAACUACGUGCCAGCAGCCGCGGUAAUACGUAGGGGGCAAGCGUUAUCCGGAUUUACUGGGGGUAAAGGGAGCGUAGACGGUGCGCCAAGUCUGAAGUGAAAGGCGGGGGCCCAACCCCCGGACUGCUUUGGAAACUGGAUGGCUGGAGUGCAGGAGAGGUAAGUGGAAUUCCUAGUGUAGCGGUGAAAUGCGUAGAUAUUAGGAGGAACACCAGUGGCGAAGGCGGCUUACUGGACUGUAACUGACGUUGAGGCUCGAAAGCGUGGGGAGCAAACAGGAUUAGAUACCCGUGUAGUC